rnacentral:tRNA from 1 species
GCGCUCGUAGCCCAACGGCAGAGGCAUCAGGUUUAGGUCCUGACCAGUGAGAGUUCGAAUCUCUCCGAGCGCA